GUGAACAUAGUUUAAAUAAAAUACUAAAUUGUGAUUUUAGAGAUAAAGACUAAUAACCUUUUGUUCACC
rnacentral:tRNA from 1 species